rnacentral:lncRNA from 1 species
GAUUGCCCUGUUAAAUUUUUCGACUGGAAAUUAUAUUUAAAGCAAUUUUUUAAACAGUUGCCAGCACUAACAACAUAUCAUCACUUUCGGAUGAUGAAGGAAUCACCAGGAGUAGUUUUUGUUAGGGAGUAUUGUGACAAUGAUGAAAAACAGUUUCGGUUGUUAAAAAUAGAGUUGUAAUUAACCCAUUAUCUGAACCAACGGAAUUGCCAAAAAAGGGGUUAGACGCAAUGCGUCAGUGGUACUUGUAUCAAGAGAUAAGGCCACUCUGUUAUGGCAGCAAAGACAUUACGUGCCCCAAACCCAC